CCUACGGGCGGCAGCAGUGAGGAAUAUUGGUCAAUGGACGAGAGUCUGAACCAGCCAAGUAGCGUGAAGGAUGACUGCCCUAUGGGUUGUAAACUUCUUUUAUAUGGGAAUAAAAUGUUCCACGUGUGGGAUUUUGUAUGUACCAUAUGAAUAAGGAUCGGCUAACUCCGUGCCAGCAGCCGCGGUAAUACGGAGGAUCCGAGCGUUAUCCGGAUUUAUUGGGUUUAAAGGGAGCGUAGGUGGAUUGUUAAGUCAGUUGUGAAAGUUUGCGGCUCAACCGUAAAAUUGCAGUUGAAACUGGCAGUCUUGAGUACAGUAGAGGUGGGCGGAAUUCGUGGUGUAGCGGUGAAAUGCUUAGAUAUCACGAAGAACUCCGAGUGCGAAGGCAGUUCACUGGACUGCAACUGACACUGAGGCUCGAAAGUGUGGGUAUCAAACAGGAUUAGAUACCCCAGUAGUC
rnacentral:rRNA from 1 species